CCUACGGGUGGCAGCAGUGGGGAAUAUUGGACAAUGGGCGAAAGCCUGAUCCAGCCAUGCCGCGUGUGUGAAGAAGGCCUUCGGGUUGUAAAGCACUUUCAGUGGGGAAGAAAGCCUUGGGGCUAAUACCCUCGAGGAAGGACAUCACCCACAGAAGAAGCACCGGCUAACUCCGUGCCAGCAGCCGCGGUAAUACGGAGGGUGCGAGCGUUAAUCGGAAUUACUGGGCGUAAAGCGCGCGUAGGCGGUCUGAUAAGCCGGUUGUGAAAGCCCCGGGAUCAACCUGGGAACGGCAUCCGGAACUGUCAGGCUUGAGUGCAGGAGAGGAAGGUAGAAUUCCCGGUGUAGCGGUGAAAUGCGUAGAGAUCGGGAGGAAUACCAGUGGCGAAGGCGGCCUUCUGGACUGACACUGACGCUGAGGUGCGAAAGCGUGGGUAGCAAACAGGAUUAGAUACCCGUGUAGUC
rnacentral:rRNA from 1 species